CUUCAUCGUUUCAGUGACAAGCUGUUCGAGAUACAGCUAUGAAUUCCGUUUUCGUUUUCAUGCUCAUUGUUGGGGCUACUUUGGCGGUGCCAAGACCUGGUAGUCAUUAUACUUACGGCUACGGUUCUCUUGGGUCCGGUAUAGGAAGUGGUUCACUGUAUGGCGGUCGGUCACUGUAUGGAUCAGGGUUAGGCGGUGGGUCACGGUAUCGAUCAAGCUACGGAAUUGGGUCACCGUAUGGAUCAAGCUACAGACUAGGGUCAACGUAUGGAUCCGGCUUAGGCGGUGGGUCACUGUAUGGAUCAAGCUACGGAAUCACGUCACCGUACGGAUCAAGCUACGGGAUUGGGUUACCGUAUGGAUCCGGCUUAGGCGGUGGGUCACGGUAUAGAUCAAGCUACGAAAUUGGGUCACCUUAUGGAAGUUACCGAGCUGGGUCAUCAUACGGAUCACUGUAUGACGGAUAUGGGCCCGAUCGUGACGAUGACGACUAUAGAUCUAGUUACGGCAGGAACUAUGGAUCACCAUAUAGCAGCUAUACAUCCGGUUCUGGCAUCGGAAGCGGAUCACUAUACGGCGGAUCUCAUUACGGUGGAAGCAGAUACUAAUUUGCGAUUGUUAGGAAUGCGUUCAGGCGGAAGUGGUCGAUGUUCGCGGUGGUAUAGGAAUAUUUGUUCAGAAAUCUACUAAUAACCUCAGGAUUAUGGACGUGUAUUAUAUUAACAAAUGUCCGCCAUCGUUCAUAUUGACUAAUUUCGCAGAUGUAAAAGAUCGUUGUAUUGGUGUUUACCUUUGUCAUUUGAAACUACUCAAUGUGCCCAUGUAUUAAUGUGUAUACAUACACAUACACUUCGAACACAAUUAAAUAUACAUUUUCAUCAAAGACACUAGAACAUCAAGUUUUGAAGCAUGUCAUGAUUUAAUUAACUUUUUCUAUAGUAAAUAACUGUGCCACAUACCACUUAAUAAAAGUUGUAGUUGUAGUUUGCGUUUAUUUUAUGUUAAUGUUGUGUAUGAAUUAGUAUAACUGUAUGUGUA